UACGGAGGGUGCGAGCGUUGUCCGGAAUCACUGGGCGUAAAGGGCGCGUAGGUGGCGACUCAAGUCAACGGUGAAAGCUCGACGCUCAACGUCGAGUCGGCCGUCGAAACUGGGACGCUUGAGCACUGUAGAGGCAGAUGGAAUUCCGGGUGUAGCGGUGGAAUGCGUAGAGAUCCGGAAGAACACCGGUGGCGAAGGCGGUCUGCUGGGCAGUUGCUGACACUGAUGCGCGAAAGCGUGGGGAGCAAACGGG
rnacentral:rRNA from 1 species